rnacentral:rRNA from 1 species
AGGGCAGACGGUGGAUGCCUUGGCUCUCGGAGGCGAUGAAGGACGUGAUAAGCUGCGAAAAGCCCGGGGGAGAUGCAAAUAAUCCUUGAUUCCGGGAUAUCCGAAUGGGGCAACCCGGCAGGCAGGAGGCCUGCCACCAUGCAAAUGGGGCGAACGCGGGGAACUGAAACAUCUAAGUACCCGCAGGAGAAGAAAACAAAAUGUGAUUCCGCAAGUAGUGGCGAGCGAACGCGGAACAGCCCAAACCGGCGCCGUUUCGGCGGCGCCGGGGUUGUAGGACCACGCCGUGGCAAGACGGCAGGACAGCGGAAGGCGUUGGAAAACGCCGCCAAAGACGGUGAAAGCCCGGUACGCGCCAUCCUGCCCAAGCCUAGUGGCAUCCUGAGUAACGCGGAGCACGAGGAAUUCUGCGCGAAACAGCGGGGCCCAUCCCGCAAGGCUAAAUACUCCCGGGAGACCGAUAGCGAACCAGUACCGUGAGGGAAAGGUGAAAAGAACCCCGAACAGGGGAGUGAAACAGACCCUGAACCCGUCUGCCUACAAGCGGUCGGAGCACCAAUGUGGUGUGACGGCGUGCCUUUUGCAUAAUGAACCUACGAGUUACUUCCAGUGGCGAGGUUAAGGCGUUCAGCGCCGCAGCCGAAGCGAAAGCGAGUCUGAAAAGGGCGUCGAGUCACUGUGAGUAGACGCGAAACCAAGUGAUCUACCCUUGGCCAGGAUGAAGGUUGGGUAACACCAACUGGAGGUCCGUAUGGUUAUACGUUGAAAAGUGUUCCAAUGAGCUGAGGGUAGGGGUGAAAGGCUAAUCAAACUUGGAGAUAGCUCGUACUCCCCGAAAUGCAUUUAGGUGCAGCCUGCCGGCAGUAUUGCACGAGGUAGAGCGACUGAUUGGAUGCGAGGGCUUCACCGCCUAUCAAGUCCAGACAAACUCCGAAUGCGCGCAAUACAUUCCGGUGGAGUGAGGGCGCGGGUGCUAAGGUCCGCGUCCGAGAGGAGAAGAAUCCAGACCACCUGCUAAGGCCCCGAAAUGGUGCCUGAGUUGAGAAAACGAAGUCGGACUGCAGAGACAGCUAGGAUGUUGGCUUGGAAGCAGCCAUUCAUUUAAAGAGUGCGUAACAGCUCACUAGUCGAGGAGUCCGGCAUGGAUAAUAAUCGGGCAUAAGGCAUCUGCCGAAGCAGUGGAUCACGCAAGUGAUGGUAGGGGAGCAUUCCAUGUGCGUCGAAGGUCGGGGACGACCCCGGUUGGAGCGCAUGGAAAAGCAAAUGUAGGUAUAAGUAACGAUAAAGGAAGCGAGAAACUUCCUCGCCGAAAGACUGAGGUUUCCUGAUCAACGCUAAUCGGAUCAGGGUAAGUCGGGACCUAAGGAUAAGCCGAACGGCGAAGCCGAUGGAAGAAACGGUCAACAUUCCGUUACUACUGUAUUGGGUGAAGCGGGGACGGAGAAGUGAAAGCCCUGCCGGCUGACGGAAUAGCCGGUUGAAGGGUGUAGGUGCAGAUGGCCGCAGGCAAAUCCGCGGCUUGAGCCGAACCUGAGAGUAUGCCAAGCGCUUGCGCGAGGCAAGAUGGGCGUAAUCCGGCUCCCUAGAAAAUCCGCUAAACGUAACCAUUACAGUACCCGUACCGCAAACGGACACACGUAGUUGGGUUGAAAAUACUGAGGCGCUCGAGUGAUUCACGGUUAAGGAACUAGGCAAAAUGGUCCUGUAACUUCGGGAUAAAGGACGCCAAUCUCAAGAUUGGCCGCAGAGAAUAGGCCCAGGCGACUGUUUAACAAAAACACAUGGCUAUGCGAAAUAGUGAACAUGAAGUAUAUAGCCUGACACCUGCCCGGUGCCGGAAGGUUAAGAGGAGAUGUCACCGCAAGGGAAGCAUUGAAUUGAAGCCCCGGUAAACGGCGGCCGUAACUAUAACGGUCCUAAGGUAGCGAAAUUCCUUGUCGGGUAAGUUCCGACCUGCACGAAUGGUGUAACGAUCUGGGCACUGUCUCAACCGUGAGCUCGGUGAAAUUGUAGUAUCGGUGAAGAUGCCGAUUACCCGCGAUGGGACGAAAAGACCCCGUGAACCUUUACUAUAGCUUUACAUUGCGUUUGGGCAACCGAUGUGUAGGAUAGGCCGGAGGCUAUGAAGCAGGCACGCCAGUGCCGGUUGAGCCGGCGUUGAAAUACGGCCCUUUGGUUGUUUGAACCCUAACCCGUUAAACGGGGACACUGUAUGGCGGGUAGUUUGACUGGGGUGGUCGCCUCCAAAAGCGUAACGGAGGCU